rnacentral:tRNA from 1 species
GCGCCAAUGGUGUAGUGGUAACAUUAAAGCUUCCCAUGCUUUAGCCAGGGGUUCGAUUCCCCUUUGGCGCA